GCGCUGGUAGCUCAGUUGGAUAGAGUGUUUGGCUACGAACCAAAAGGUCGGGGGUUCGAAUCCCUUCCAGCGCACCA
rnacentral:tRNA from 1 species